UGGGGGAUAUUGCACAAUGGGCGAAAGCCUGAUGCAGCGACGCCGCGUGGGGGAUGAAGGCUUUCGGGUUGUAAACCUCUUUCGCUAUCGAACAAGGCCCGCUUAGGGUGGGUUGAGGGUAGGUGGAGAAGAAGCGCCGGCUAACUACGUGCCAGCAGCCGCGGUAAUACGUAGGGCGCGAGCGUUGUCCGGAAUUAUUGGGCGUAAAGGGCUUGUAGGCGGCUUGUUGCGCCUGCUGUGAAAACGCGGGGCUUAACUUCGCGCGUGCAGUGGGUACGGGCAGGCUUGAGUGUGGUAGGGGUGACUGGAAUUCCAGGUGUAGCGAUGGAAUGCGCAGAUAUCUGGAGGAACACCGAUGGCGAAGGCAGGUCACUGGGCCAUUACUGACGCUGAGGAGCGAAAGCAUGGGUAGCGAACAGG
rnacentral:rRNA from 2 species